rnacentral:rRNA from 1 species
GAUCAUGGCUCAGGACGAACGCUGGCGGCGCGCCUAACACAUGCAAGUCGAACGAGCGAGAGAGAGCUUGCUUUCUCGAGCGAGUGGCGAACGGGUGAGUAACGCGUGAGGAACCUGCCUCAAAGGGGGGUACAACGAGUUGGAAACGACUGCUAAUACCGCAUAAGCCCACAGCUCGGCAUCGAGCAGAGGGAAAAGGAGCAAUCCGCUUUGAGAUGGCCUCGCGUCCGAUUAG